CAUACAUAUGUAUAUGAGUUCGAUUUAUUGAUUUGCCAAGUGGAAAAAAGGGAAAACAUUUGUCAUGCCUCUGCGCUUUGCUCUGAUUCACUUAAUCUGUGCCACUCCGGGCUGUAAAAUCGUCGAGUGUUUGCCACGCUAAUUCCCGAUGGCACCUAAGGUUCAUUUAUGCCAUGAGAGCACACGUGAUGAUUGUCGUUUUAUUUUCAAGUGAAGUUCUUUCUGACUGAGAGAUGAGAUUCUGAUUUUAUUACGAUAUAGUUUUGAUUUUUUGUUUGGUUCAAGCUUACUAAGUUCUCUAUAAAUCUUAAUAAUGUGUUUAAAUUUCCAACGA
rnacentral:lncRNA from 1 species